rnacentral:rRNA from 1 species
UACGUAGGGGUGCGAGCGUUUAAUCGGAAUUACUGGGCGUAAAGCGUGCGCAGGCGGUUUGUUAAGACAGAUGUGAAAUCCCCCGGGCUUAACCUGGGAACUGCAUUUGUGACUGGCAAGCUAGAGUAUGGCAGAGGGGGGGUAGAAUUCCACGUGUAGCAGUGAAAUGCGUAGAGAUGUGGAGGAAUACCGAUGGCGAAGGCAGCCCCCCUGGGCCAAUACUGA